GACGAACGCUGGCGGCGUGCUUAACACAUGCAAGUCGAACGGAAAGGCCCUGCUUUUGUGGGGUGCUCGAGUGGCGAACGGGUGAGUAACACGUGAGUAACCUGCCCUUGACUUUGGGAUAACUUCAGGAAACUGGGGCUAAUACCGGAUAGGAGCUCCUGCUGCAUGGUGGGGGUUGGAAAGUUUCGGCGGUUGGGGAUGGACUCGCGGCUGAUCAGCUUGUUGGUGGGGUAGUGGCUUACCAAGGCUUUGACGGGUAGCCGGCCUGAGCGGGUGACCGGCCACAUUGGGACUGAGAUACGGCCCAGACUCCGACGGGAGGCAGCAGUGGGGAAUAUUGCACAAUGGGCGGAAGCCUGAGGCAGCAACGCCGCGUGCGGGAUGACGGCCUUCGGGUUGUAAACCGCUUUCGCCUGUAACGAAGCGUGAGUGACGGUAAUGGGUAAAGAAGCACCGGCUAACUACGUG
rnacentral:rRNA from 1 species